UUUGUGAAGGGUUUGAUCCUGGCUCAGAAUGAACGUUGGCGGCGUGGAUUAGGCAUGCAAGUCGAGCGGGUGCAGCAAUGCACCA
rnacentral:ncRNA from 1 species